UAGAGAGAGACAUGCGCGCAUAUCAAUAAGCGGAGGAAAAGAAACUAACAAGGAUUCCCUUAGUAACGGCGAGUGAAGCGGAAGAGCUCAAAUUUGAAAUCUUCAAGGUUCUACCUUGACGAAUUGUAGUUUAUAGAAGUGUUUUCUGUUAGUGGAGUGGCAAAAGUUCUUUGGAAUAGGACAUCAUAGAGGGUGAGAAUCCCGUAUUUGGUCAUUCCUCCUAGCGUUGUGAUACACUUUCAACGAGUCGGAUUGUUUGGGAAUGCAGUCCAAAAUGGGUGAUAAAUUUCAUCUAAAGCUAAAUAUUGGCGAGAGACCGAUAGCGAACAAGUACCGUGAGGGAAAGAUGAAAAGAACUUUGAAAAGAGAGUUAAACAGUACGUGAAAUUGUCAAAAGGGAAGCGUUUGACACCAGUGUUGUUUUUCCGAAAAUCAAUUACGAAUGUUUUAGUUUUGAGGAGUUAUGACUUCAUCGGCUUGCUCCUUUCUUUAUGAAACUUUCUUAAUGCACUUUUCGGUUAACAAGUCAACAUCAAUUUCUUUUGUUGUAAAAGGGUAUGAGGAAGGUGGCUUUCUUUUCGGAGAAAGUGUUUAUAGCCUUGUGCCUCUGCAAUCGGAGAGAUUGAGGUCUGCAGCGUAGAUCCUUCGGGGUUAGAUACAUUUGUGCUAAGUUAUAGCUUUUCAUAGACAACUUGUUGACUAUGUUUAGUCUUGUAGCUUACUCGCUUACGCUAUUUUACCUACGCUUAGGAUGUUGAUAGUCACAGCGUGUAC
rnacentral:rRNA from 1 species